rnacentral:rRNA from 1 species
UACGUAGGGUGCAAGCGUUGUCCGGAAUUAUUGGGCGUAAAGAGCUCGUAGGCGGUUUGUCGCGUCUGCUGUGAAAACCCGAGGCUCAACCUCGGGCCUGCAGUGGGUACGGGCAGACUAGAGUGCGGUAGGGGAGAUUGGAAUUCCUGGUGUAGCGGUGGAAUGCGCAGAUAUCAGGAGGAACACCGAUGGCGAAGGCAGCUCGCUGGGACGGUACUGACGCUGAGGCGCGAAAAGCGUGGGGAGCGAACAGG